rnacentral:rRNA from 1 species
AGAGUUUGAUCCUGGCUCAGGAUGAACGCUGACAGAAUGCUUAACACAUGCAAGUUAAUGGGGAAGAUAUAGCUUGCUAUAUUGGGAACCAUAGCGGACGGGUGAGUAACGCGUAAAGGACUUACCCUCAGGACUGGGAUAACAGAGGGAAACUUCUGAUAAGACCGGAUAUAAUAUAUGUAUUGCAUGAUAUAUAUAUGAAAGGGAACGCCUGAGGAGAGCUUUGCGUCCUAUUAGUUAGUUGGUGGGGUAACGGCCUACCAAGGCGAUGAUAGGUAGCCGGCCUGAGAGGGUGGACGGCCACAAGGGGACUGAGAUACGGCCCUUACUCCUACGGGAGGCAGCAGUGGGGAAUAUUGGACAAUGGGGGCAACCCUGAUCCAGCAAUUCUGUGUGCACGAAGAAGGUUUUCGGAUUGUAAAGUGCUUUCAGCAGGGAAGAAGUAAGUGACGGUACCUGCAGAAGAAGCGACGGCUAAAUACGUGCCAGCAGCCGCGGUAAUACGUAUGUCGCGAGCGUUAUCCGGAAUUAUUGGGCAUAAAGGGCAUCUAGGCGGCACGACAAGUCAGGGGUGAAAACUUGCGGCUCAACUGCAAGCUUGCCUUUGAAACUGUAGUGCUAGAGUAUUGGAAAGGUGGGCGGAACUACACGAGUAGAGGUGAAAUUCGUAGAUAUGUGUAGGAAUGCCGAUGAUGAAGAUAGCUCACUGGACGAUAACUGACGCUGAAGUGCGAAAGCUAGGGGAGCGAACAGGAUUAGAUACCCUGGUAGUCCUAGCUGUAAACGAUGAUUACUGGGUGUGGGCAGGAAGACUGUCUGUGCCGAAGCA